rfam:Anas platyrhynchos breed Pekin duck contig72610, whole genome shotgun sequence.
AUAUCUGCAGCUGUACAAAAGAAAGCUAAUGAGAAGAUCCAUGAUUAGGUUUUCCCAGGGUGAGGCUCGUCCCCUGCACUCUGGGUGUCCUGACCCCUGCUAUUUCCCCAAAUGCGGGAAACUCGACUGCAUAAUUUGUGGUAGUGGGGGACUCUGUUCGCAAUUUCUCUUG